rnacentral:rRNA from 1 species
CCUACGGGGGGCAGCAGUGAGGAAUAUUGGUCAAUGGACGAGAGCCUGAACCAGCCAAGUAGCGUGAAGGAUGACUGCCCUACGGGUUGUAAACUUCUUUUAUAAAGGAAUAAAGUGAGGCACGUGUGCCUUUUUGUAUGUACUAUAUGAAUAAGGAUCGGCUAACUCCGUGCCAGCAGCCGCGGUAAUACGGAGGAUCCGAGCGUUAUCCGGAUUUAUUGGGUUUAAAGGGAGCGUAGAUGGGUUGUUAAGUCAGUUGUGAAAGUUUGCGGCUCAACCGUAAAAUUGCAAUUGAUACUGGCAGUCUUGAGUACAGUUGAGGUAGGCGGAAUUCGUGGUGUAGCGGUGAAAUGCUUAGAUAUCACGAAGAACUCCGAUUGCGAAGGCAGUUCACUAAACUGCCACUGACAUUGAUGCUCGAAAGUGUGGGUAUCAAACAGGAUUAGAUACCCUGGUAGUC